rnacentral:tRNA from 1 species
UCCCUGGGGGUCCAGUGGUUAGGACUCCACGCUUUUGCUGCCGAGGGCCCAGGUUCGAUUCCUGGUCAGGGAA